rnacentral:rRNA from 1 species
AGCGAACGUUUGCGGCGGGCCUAACACAUGCAAGUCGAACGCACUAGCAAUAGUGAGUGGCGCACGGGUGCGUAACACGUGGGUAAUCAACCCUUCAGCCUGGGAUAACGACUCGAAAGGGUCGCUAAUACCGGAUACGGCGCGAGAGGCUUCGGCUUCUCACGAGAAAGCCACGCAAGGGGCACUGAAGGACGAGCCUGCGGCCCAUCAGCUAGUUGGUGAGGUAAGAGCUCACCAAGGCUAAGACGGGUAGCUGGUCUGAGAGGAUGAUCAGCCACACUGGAACUGAGACACGGUCCAGACUCCUACGGGAGGCAGCAGUGGGGAAUAUUGCGCAAUGGGCGAAAGCCUGACGCAGCCACGCCGCGUGAGCGAUGAAGGCCUGGUCGUAAGGACUCUGUGGGAGAGACGAAGAAAGACCUGUGAAGAGCAGGCCUUGACGGUAGUCUCCUUAGCAAGCACCGGCGUAACUACCGU